GGUUGACACCUCCAAUGUUGAAUCUGACGAGGAACCAGCGAAGAGGGCGGUGACUAAACCAAUCAGAUUCCGUGUAGAGCCACCUGAUGAUGAUGGAAGUGAAGCACUCCAGAAAAAGACAAAUGAACCCAGACAAGCCCAGCGUACAGUGCCACAGCUUCCACCAGCCCCUAGUGUAACUUCAAGAGCCAGUGUCUUUGAAAAAACCCUACAACAAGAUGAAGAGGACUUGAGGCCAUGUGCCACCUCAAGCCAGAGCGACAGUAAGUGUCUGGUUGUAGUUUUAGGGUAAACAAUUAGUUUUAGGGUAAACAAUUGAAUUGUAUGAAAUAUUAUAGCUCUACAAACCUUUUAAAGCCACUCAAUAGAAUACAAUUACCAUCAUAUUUUUGCAUAUGAGGUUAUUUAAAGUCAUAUUACUACUUUGUGCAUACUGUUAGAACUUUCCAAAUAGUUGUGGUGCUGUGUAUGGGUGAAGCUUGUAUUUCCAAAAGUAGUGAAAUCACCCUAUUCUUCUGGGGUAAAACACAAGUGUGAUGCCAUGUUUGUAAAUAUCUGUAUG